GUCCCUGGAUCAUGGGUGGCGUGGCCCAGGCCUGGGAGACCUAGUGUGUGUCCUCAGUCAGGCCUGGGCCAACGUGGGCCUUCCCUCCUUCCAGAUUUCACGGCCACCACCAAACCAAACCAAACAAAUUUAUAGCAGAGUCCCCGUGCAUGUGCAGGCGUGUGGCUACGGGUCCUUCCGCUGGGCCGCCUGGGAGGCCCUCUCCUGCUCCUCCGCCAUCUUGGCCUCCCAGAGCGAGCGCCGCUCGAAGGCCUCCACGAUCCGGGAGACGCGGUUCUCCGCCUGCAGCAGCAGCGCCACUUCUUUCGCCGAGGGGUCCGGUUGGGCCUGGUCCCAGGCGGAGGUGGCGCUUGGCGGUGGGUGCCGCUGGCAGAAGGUGCAGUCACAGGCGGCAGGCGAAGCCUUGGCCUCGUUGUCAUCGGCAUCGCCAUUGCAGGGCAGGACCCACGCGGCCGGCUAUGGGGAGAGAGUAAAAGUUAAGAACAACGGCAGUGAGACAAGCACCUGCUCCCAUCGAGAGAGGCUUCAGAGAAGAGCCGAAGGACAAAGUGUAUGUCAUGCACACCUUGUCUCUCAUGCCCUACAAUGUGUGCAUCUAUACCAGGCAUGGGCCAACGUUAGCCCUCCUUGUGUUUUGGACUCCCAUAAUUCCUAACAGUCAGUAGGGCCGAAGUCGGCUCAUGCCUGAUCUUUGAUGUCAGGUGUAACAAAGUGUGAUUUUUUUAGUUUACAGAUGUCAUGUUUAAUUGCUUUUUUAAAGGGUCAAUAUUUCAGUUACUCUGCACUCAUGAGUUGGUUGCCAUGGAGAAGUAGGCGGAGCCAACUGCCGUUUUGGUGGAGAAGUGCAGGUUUGAAAAAGCAGCAGUUAGUCUGUGCCCUGAUGAGGUACAGUGAAGACUGAUCCUCAGUUGAAGGGAUCAGGGAGACUCAAAUGCUUAUUUUUGAGUCAAUUUAAAAUAAGUUUGGUGACUUAUUUAUUUAUUUAUUUACAGCAUUUAUAUUCCGCCCUUCUUUCUCACCCUGAAGGGGACUCAGGGCGGAUCACAUUACACAUAUAAGGCAAACAUUCAAUGCCUUUUAACAUAGAACAAAGACAAGACAAACAUAGGCUCCGAGCGGGCCUCGAACUCAUGACCUCCUGGUCAGAGUGAUUUAUUGCAGUGAUUCAUUGCCGCUGCUCUCCAGCCUGUGCCACAGCCCGAGACUUAUUUUAAGGUAGUUUGUCUCCUGAUGAGGAACAGAUAAUCUGUGAUUGUAAUUCACAGGGUGACUGCAGUUUAGAGCAGUAAAGAAAGAAGUGACAUUUUAAGAAGUUUGAAACACCUCAUUCUAGCCUUGCAACUGUUAACCAAAGUGCCUCUAAAGAGAAAGUUACUGUAACCAUUAAGCUUUGUGCCAGAAUAAACGUGUUAUUGUUCUGUUAAACAUCUCAGCUUCUGUCAUAUAUAUUACCAUCAGAAACAAACAAGAAGAAAGAAGAAAAACAAAAUUUAAAAGGUCUCCUCUCUAAGUAGCUAGUGGCUAUAUCUUCUCAUAGUGGUGGCAAGCGUGGAUAAUCCCCUUUACAUCUGGUGGCCGCAUUAUAAACAUCUUUACACUGGUGGCAGCGGUUAUAAUAUAAUAAUAUAAUAAAAUAAACAUCCUGUCAGGGUAUUGUGUAUUGUGAAAUGUUAAAAUCAAUCUGGGUUAUUAGAAAUGCCUUAUGUGUUAGUUUUUCGGCAAGGCAUUUCAGCAGUUAUGGAGUUAAUGAGAGUCUGCUAUGAUUGACGUAUCACAGGACCAAUGGGGUCAAGUUUGUUUUGACCGGGACUUUCUUUCUUGUCCUGUGGAAUGCAGAGGAGUUUCCAGAGCGUGUGUGUGCAUGUGUCGCUUCGGCAAGAGCACUCAUGGUGGAAGGACUGAUUUGCUCUGUUUGUAUAUAGUCAUGUAAAUAAAGAUUGAUUGCCGUUGGAUUUCCAAC
rnacentral:lncRNA from 11 species